rnacentral:ncRNA from 2 species
GAAAACCAGCAGGGGAGCCGUUUAGGCUGAGAGGUUUGCGAAAGCAAACGACCCUUUGAACCUGACGCGGGUCAUGCCGCCGCAGGGAGCCGCGCCGUCGCAAAG